rnacentral:rRNA from 1 species
UACGGAGGGGGCGAGCGUUAUUCGGAAUUAUUGGGCGUAAAGGGCGCGUAGGCGGCUGCACAAGUCAAAGGUGAAAUCCCUCGGCUCAACUGAGGAACUGCCUUUGAAACUGUACGGCUUGAGGCCGGGAGGGGGUAGCGGAAUUCCCAGUGUAGCGGUGAAAUGCGUAGAUAUUGGGAGGAACACCAGUGGCGAAGGCGGCUACCUGGACCGGUUCUGACGCUGAUGCGCGAAAGCGUGGGGAGCGAACCGG